rnacentral:rRNA from 1 species
AACCUGCCCAAGAGAUCGGGAUAACACCUGGAAACAGAUGCUAAUACCGGAUAACAACAGAUGAUGCCUAUCGACUGUUUAAAAGAUGGUUCUGCUAUCACUCUUGGAUGGACCUGCGGUGCAUUAGCUAGUUGGUAGGGUAACGGCCUACCAAGGCGAUGAUGCAUAGCCGAGUUGAGAGACUGAUCGGCCACAUUGGGACUGAGACACGGCCCAAACUCCUACGGGAGGCAGCAGUU